rnacentral:tRNA from 1 species
UUUGAAUUGGUGUAGUGGUGAACAUUUGACGCUCUCAACUCGAUCCUUGUGAUGGUCUUGUGCGGUGCCGUCAAGCCCGGGGUUCGAUUCCCCGAUUCGAAG